rnacentral:rRNA from 1 species
GAUGAACGCUGGCGGCGUGCCUAAUACAUGCAAGUCGAGCGAAUGGAUUAAGAGCUUGCUCUUAUGAAGUUAGCGGCGGACGGGUGAGUAACACGUGGGUAACCUGCCCAUAAGACUGGGAUAACUCCGGGAAACCGGGGCUAAUACCGGAUAACAUUUUGAACCGCAUGGUUCGAAAUUGAAAGGCGGCUUCGGCUGUCACUUAUGGAUGGACCCGCGUCGCAUUAGCUAGUUGGUGAGGUAACGGCUCACCAAGGCAACGAUGCGUAGCCGACCUGGGAGGUUGAUCGGCCACACUGGGACUGAGACACGGCCCAGACUCCCACGGGAGGCAGCAGUAGGGAAUCUUCCGCAAUGGACGAAAGUCUGACGGAGCAACGCCGCGUGAGUGAUGAAGGCUUUCGGGUCGUAAAACUCUGUUGUUAGGGAAGAACAAGUGCUAGUUGAAUAAGCUGGCACCUUGACGGUACCUAACCAGAAAGCCACGGCUAACUACGUGCCAGCCGCCGCAGUAA